rnacentral:snRNA from 1 species
GCUUGCUUCGGCAAGCGCGUACGCUAAAUUGGAUACGAUACAGAGAAGAUUAGCAUGGCCCCUGCGUUAGAUAGCACUACUUUCCAUUCUCCCUAUUUUU